rnacentral:rRNA from 1 species
GAUGGGGAGAAGACAUUGUGUCUUCGAGUCGUUGAUUUCACACUGCCGAGAAAAGCCUCUAGAUAGAAAAUAGGUGCCCGUACCGCAAACCGACACAGGUAGUCAAGAUGAGAAUUCUAAGGUGAGCGAGCGAACUCUCGUUAAGGAACUCGGCAAAAUGACCCCGUAACUUCGGGAGAAGGGGUGCUCUUUAGGGUUAACGCCCAGAAGAGCCGCAGUGAAUAGGCCCAAGCGACUGUUUAUCAAAAACACAGGUCUCUGCUAAACCGUAAGGUGAUGUAUAGGGGCUGACGCCUGCCCGGUGCUGGAAGGUUAAGAGGAGUGGUUAGCUUCUGCGAAGCUACGAAUCGAAGCCCCAGUAAACGGCGGCCGUAACUAUAACGGUCCUAAGGUAGCGAAAUUCCUUGUCGGG